rnacentral:tRNA from 1 species
GGCGGUUUGGCCGAGUGGUCUAAGGCGAUUGAGUACGUUCCACUUCAUCAGAUAAUCAUCUAAACUUUCACUAACCAAUCCAACAGCUAGAAAUCAAUUCUCUUCGGAGGCGCAUGUUCGAAUCAUGCAGCCGUCG